UAUUUUUAUUUUUUUAUUUUUUAUUCAGUUCAGUUAUCGAAUGUCUGCGUCAGAAGAAGUCAGAAAGUUAAACUAGUUUUACUUUCAGUUAAGAACUAAUUUCAUUCAUUUACAUUUAUUAGAAACAUAACUUCUAAGAAUACGAAUACUUGCUUUCAUUCCUAUUAUUGAGAACAGUCGCCUGGAGAAUGCAAAACUAAUGUAAAAUGUAUGUCUUUAAAGAAAGAAAUAUGCAAAAAAUCCCAUAAGUUGUGGUUUAAAACAAAACAUUCUGACAUUAGAGUGGGCUGUGGUUUAAAAAUGGUGGUUUAAAACAAAACAUUCUGACAUUAGAGCAGGUUGUGGUUUAAAAAUGGUGGUUUAAAACAAAACAUUCUGACAUUAGAGCGGGUUGUGGUUUAAAAAUGGUGGUUUAAAAAUACAUUUUCUGACAUUAGAGCAGGUUGUGGUUUAAAAAUGGUGGUUUAAAA